rnacentral:rRNA from 1 species
GCUCAGUACUGCGGAGGACAUUGUC